UACAGAGGGUGCGAGCGUUAAUCGGAGUUACUGGGCGUAAAGGGCGCGUAGGCGGUUAUAUAAGUGAGAUGUGAAAUCCCUGGGCUUAACCUAGGAACUGCAUCUCAUACUGUAUGACUGGAGUAUUGUAGAGGGUAGUGGAAUUUCGGUGUAGCGGUGAAAUGCGUAGAGAUCGGAAGGAACACCAGUGGCGAAGGCGGCUACCUGGACAAAUACUGACGCUGAGGCGCGAGAGCGUGGGAGCAAACGAGGA
rnacentral:rRNA from 1 species